CUUCACCGAUCCGAGCAGCAACGGGCCCCGGUCGCCCCGGCUCUGACCGUACGUGGCCAGCAGCGCCUGGGCCUC
rnacentral:antisense_RNA from 1 species